GACAGAGGGUGCAAACGUUGCUCGGAAUUAUUGGGCGUAAAGAGCUCGUAGGCGGUCUGUCGCGUCGAUCGUGAAAACUUGGGGCUUAACCCUGAGCUUGCGGUCGAUACGGGCAUGACUGGAGUUCGGCAGGGGAGACUGGAAUUCCUGGUGUAGUGGUGGAAUGCGUAGAGAUCCGGAGGAACACCAGCGGCGAAGGCGGCGACCUGGACAAGUACUGACACUCAACUACGAAAGCGUGGGGAGCAAACAGG
rnacentral:rRNA from 1 species